CCUUUAGAGCGGCCCGCGUCUGAUUAGCUAGUUGGUGAGGUAAUGGCUCACCAAGGCGACGAUCAGUAGCUGGUCUGAGAGGAUGAUCAGCCACAUUGGGACUGAGACACGGCCCAAACUCCUACGGGAGGCAGCAGUGGGGAAUCUUGCGCAAUGGGCGAAAGCCUGACGCAGCCAUGCCGCGUGAAUGAUGAAGGUCUUAGGAUUGUAAAAUUCUUUCACCGGGGACGAUAAUGACGGUACCCGGAGAAGAAGCCCCGGCUAACUUCGUGCCAGCAGCCGCGGUAAUACGAAGGGGGCUAGCGUUGCUCGGAAUUACUGGGCGUAAAGGGAGCGUAGGCGGACAUUUAAGUCAGGGGUGAAAUCCCGGGGCUCAACCUCGGAAUUGCCUUUGAUACUGGGUGUCUUGAGUAUGAGAGAGGUGUGUGGAACUCCGAGUGUAGAGGUGAAAUUCGUAGAUAUUCGGAAGAACACCAGUGGCGAAGGCGACACACUGGCUCAUUACUGACGCUGAGGCUCGAAAGCGUGGGGAGCAAACAGGAUUAGAUACCCUGGUAGUCCACGCCGUAAACGAUGAUUGCUAGUUGUCGGGAUGCAUGCAUUUCGGUGACGCAGC
rnacentral:rRNA from 1 species